AAUCAACGCUGGCGGCGUGCCUCAGACAUGCAAGUCGAACGCGAAAGCCCCCUUCGGGGGGCAAGUAGAGUGGCGCACGGGUGAGUAACACGUAGGUAAUCUACCUUUGGAUGGGGAAUAACCACCGGAGACGGUGGCUAAUACCGCAUAAUGCAGCGGCACCUAAUGGUGACAGUUGUUAAAGCGGGGGAUCGCAAGACCUCGCGUCUGAAGAGGAGCCUGCGGCAAAUUAGCUAGUUGGUAAGGUAACGGCUUACCAAGGCGAUGAUCUGUAGCCGGCCUGAGAGGGCGGUCGGCCACACUGACACUGACAUACGGGUCAGACUCCUACGGGAGGCAGCAGUCGGGAAUUUUGGGCAAUGGGCGAAAGCCUGACCCACCAACGCCGCGUGAAGGAUGAAAUCCCUCGGGAUGUAAACUUCGCAAGAACGGGAAGAAUAAGUAAGGGUUAAUAUCUCUUACAAUGACGGUACCGUUUGUAAGCUCCGGCUAACUCCGUGCCAGCAGCCGCGGUAAUACGGGGGGAGCAAGCGUUGUUCGGAUUUACUGGGCGUAAAGGGCGCGUAGGCGGCCACCGCAAGUCGACUGUGAAAUCUCCGGGCUUAACUCGGAAAGGUCAGCCGAUACUGCGGGGCUAGAGUGCAGAAGGGGCAACUGGAAUUCUCGGUGUAGCGGUGAGGGGCAACUGGAAUUCUCGGUGUAGCGGUGAAAUGCGUAGAUAUCGAAAGGAACACCUGCGGCGAGGCGGGUUGCUGGGCUGACACUGGACGCUGAGGCGCGAAGCUAGGGGAGCGAACGGGAUUAAAUACCCCGGGUAGUCCUAGCCUUAAACGAUGAUUGCUUUGGUGUCUAGGGGUUUUAUACUUCCCCGGGUUGCAGUUCGCCUACGCUUUUAAGCCAUUCCCCUGGGGGAAGUACGGUCGGCACGACUAAACUCAAGGGAUUGACAGGAGCGCACCUCAG
rnacentral:rRNA from 1 species